rnacentral:rRNA from 1 species
GACAAAAGCAGACCUUGCUAAGCAUCCCUAUAAAGGGCUAAGCCAAAUAGACCCUGUCUAAUGUCUUUGGUUGGGGCGACCGCGGGGAAAUAAAAAACCCCCAUGAGGACUGGAAACACUUUUCCACAACCAAGAGCUCCCGCUCUAAGAAACAGAAUAUCUGACCACAAGAUCCGGCAAUGCCGAACAACGGACCGAGUUACCCUAGGGAUAACAGCGCAAUCCCCUUUGAGAGCCCAUAUCGACAAGGGGGUUUACGACCUCGAUGUUGGAUCAGGACAUCCUAAUGGUGCAACCGCUAUUAAG